UAGGGAAUCUUCCACAAUGGGCGAAGGCCUGAUGGAGCAACGCCGCGUGUGUGAUGAAGGGUUUCGGCUCGUAAAACACUGUUGUAAGAGAAGAAUGACAUUGAGAGUAACUGUUCAAUGUGUGACGGUAUCUUACCAGAAAAGAACGGCUAAAUACGUGCAG
rnacentral:rRNA from 1 species